CGGGCAUAAUCAGCCGAAAGGUUGAACAAUUCCCGAUGGUCUGUCAGUGCAGAGCACUGACCGCAGAAUAACGCGGAAUAGACGCAGAAGUACGCAGAAGAAUACAGAUUGUAUUUUUCGGCGAAAUUCAGCGUACAGUCUGCGUAUGUCCGCGGCCAAUGUUCUGCAUUGGCAGUAAAGAUUUAUCGCUCGGGGAGCGGCCUGCGCAGUAUCAGCUAGUUGGUAGGGUAACGGCCUACCAAGGCUAUGACGCUUAGGGGAGGUGAGAGCCUGACCCCCACCGAUGGGACUGAGACACGGCCCAUACACCUACGGGUGGCCGCAGUCGAGAAUCUUCCGCAAUGGACGAAAGUCUGACGGAGCGACGCCGCGUGGUGGAUGAAGUCCUUCGGGACGUAAACACCUUUUAUGAGGGAGGAAGUCAUUGACGUUACCUCAUGAAUAAGGACCUGCUAAACUCGUGCCAGCAGCAGCGGUAAUACGAGUGGUCCAAGCGUUAUCCGGAAUCACUGGGCGUAAAGGGUGUGUAGGUGGCACUGUUAGUCUCUUGUUAAAGCUCCCGGCUCAACCGGGAAAAGGCGAGAGAAACGGCAGCGCUCGAGGGCGCGAGAGGCGUACGGAACUAUAGGAGUAGGGGUGAAAUCCGUUGAUACCUAUGGGAACACCACAUGCGAAGGCAGUACGCUGGCGCGCACCUGACACUGAAACACGAAAGCGUGGGUAGCGAACGGGAUUAGAUACCCCGGUAGUCCACGCCCUAAACGAUCUUCACUAGCUUUUCGGAGUAUCGACCCUCUGAGAGGCGAAGCUAACGCGUUAAGUGAAGCGCCUGGGAAGUACGAGCGCAAGCUUAAAACUCAAAAGAAUAGACGGGGACUCGCACAAGCGGUGGAUCAUGCGGUUUAAUUCGAUGCUAAACGAAGAACCUCACCAGGGCUAGAAAUCCAAGCGAAGUUCCAGCGAAAGUUGGGAUGUCUCACAAGGACGGUUGGACAGGUGUUGCAUGGCUGUCGUCAGUUCGUGGUUUGAAUUGUUCCCUUAAGUGGGGUAACGAACGCAACCCUUGCCGCGUGUUACAAGUGUCACGUGGGACUGUCCGCCCUAGGCGGAAGGAAGCGAGGAUGACGCCAAGUCAGCAUGACCCUUGAUGUCCUGGGCUACACGCAUGAUACAAUGGCUGCAACAGAAGGUCGCGACGGCACUAAGCCCGAGCCAAUCCCCAAAUGCAGCCCCAGUUCGGAUUGAGGUCUGCAACUCGACCUCAUGAAGCCGGAAUCGCUAGUAAUCGCAGGUCAGCUAUACUGCGGUGAAUACGUUCUCGAGUCUUGUACUCACUGCCCGUCAAGUCAAGGGAGCCGGGAGUACCCGAAGUUCCUCCACUUUGUUCGCAAGCGAACAAAGUGGCGCAGACAAACGCAGACUGUACGCAGAAUUA
rnacentral:rRNA from 1 species